UGUGGGAGGGGGCUUGCUCCCGAUAGCGGUGGGUCAGCCAAAGAUCAGUUGGCUGGUCUACUGCCAUCGGGAGCAAGCCCCCUCCCACA
rnacentral:misc_RNA from 1 species